GAUAUUUUGGAGGAAGUUCAAGGCCCUGGUUUGCCUUCCUUCUCCCUCAGGAUGUUGGCUUCCCAUCAAGUUGACGUCAUAGAGUACAGAGAACCCUCAGCCAGGCACUUACAACAUUCUCCCUGUGUGAGGGCUCUGAGUUGACUUGCAUCCACUCAAUGUCCAGACUGUUGGUACCCAAAUCCUCAGGAUCCAGGAGGCAGCCUAGCUUCUGGGACUCUAACGGGACCUGGAGAUGCCUCCUUCAGCCUUAGGCCAAGAGAAUGCCGGCUCAUUCCUAAGAUAAGGAUCCUGAUGCCAUCUGCCAGAUCCCGGGGCAUUGAGAAGCAAGCCAGGGAUGAGCCAGAGUUCUGCUGAGAGCAGAGACUCCACCCUGGGGAUGAACCACUGGAAACAGCUGACAGCAGGGAGGAUUCCCUUGUCCUGCUUCACGGAGGUCAACCAGGCAGAGGGUAAGUAUUCAAAGAAAGGGGCUGGGGUAGAAGGGAUGAACUGGAACAGAAUGCCUCUACCCUGCACUAGGCUGUAUUACUUCAAUUGUCUCAGGCCAAAGAGCCUCACCCCAGUUCCUCAGUCUCCUUAGAUGUUUCCUCAGCUCCUCCCAAGGGUUCCAGCCGUUUUGUACCUCCUCCCACCCUUUGGCAUAUCACUCUGGUUUAUCUUGCUGUGACACUGGGGAAGGAUUUCCAGGGAAUGUAAGAGAAAAGGGAGGCUUGUGUAGAGGGAAGAAUCAGGGUGAAAGCCGGCGUAGGGGAGAGUGCUGGGUAAGAGGACUUGAGGGGAGAGGAACAUGAGGAGGCCAUCCAAGGAACUGAUGAUUGUCCCUUAGGAAAUCUCCAGGGCUGACCAUCCUCUGUGGGGAAAGUCACCUCAGCAGGUGUCUGAUCUCAGCUAAGAAACCUAUUCUAAAUUCAAACUGAAAGGAGAAAAGAGAAGACAAGGGCAGCUCAGAGAAAGUUUUGGCAUCUGACUCCACGCAGCAAGAAUCUAGCCCACAUGCCCUCACACAUGGAGAUGCCCUGGCUCUCCUGGCACAGCCAGGGCUCCUAAUGUGGGCACUGCCUGGGGGGCUUUCAGCAGACAAAAAGAGCAGCAGUCACAUUGCCAGAAAUUCAGUCAUCACACAUAUGCAAGCACACACACACACACACACACACACACACACACGCAUAUUGCCACACAGAGAAACAAGAUGAAACAGUCCCCCCUUCCCUCUCACCUUCUCCAUACCUGUCAUCCUACAUCUAGACACCCACCCCAGGAGGGGCUCCAUGCUACUUUCUGCAAUACUCAAUAGAAUGUCCCUUGCCGGAACUUGCCCAGUCCCGGGCAGGCCGCCAUAGGAUCCAAAGCUGAGCCCUGCCUUCCACGAGUGCCACCAGAGAGGCGAAGGGGCUCUGGGAGCCUACCAUCCAUCCUUGUCCACAACCUCUCAGCCUCAUCCUGGAGGAGGCAUCACCUGUGGGCUCUUGUAGCACAUGGGGCCCAGAGCAGAGGUCCCAGGUCUGGGUUCUUACUAGCUAGGAUGGAGGCAACCCAGAAUGUAGAGCCUUUUCAAGGCAGACUGUUUUCCUGCCCAAUGCUCUGGCUUGGGAGGGCCGGCCCUUCCACUGGGAAAAGCACACAGACUGUCUAAAGGAAACAGAUCAUUGGCAGGCUCCUCCUCAGCCCCCACCCAGAGCUGAUGCUCACCUGACUCCUACCCCACCUGCAAUUCCCAGAACUAAAUCCAUAUCUCCAAGCAAGCCCAGGUCUCCAGCUCCCAGCGUGGGAACAGCACAAAGGGCACCUUGCACACAAUAUAUGAGUUACACAGGCUGCCAAUGACCAUGAAGAUCAGUUCCAAAGCCCCUGCACACAGACACUGCCCCAAGCCUUCAGGUACUGGCUCUCCUGGGGAGAAGCCCCCUCGGCAGUGUCGAAAUCAGCAUCAG
rnacentral:lncRNA from 1 species